UACGUAGGUGGCAAGCGUUGUCCGGAUUUACUGGGCGUAAAGAGCUCGUAGGCGGUUUGUUGCGUCGGCUGUGAAAUCCCGAGGCUCAACCUCGGGUCUGCAGUCGAUACGAGCAAACUAGAGUGUUGCAGGGGAGACUGGAAUUCCUGGUGUAGCGGUGAAAUGCGCAGAUAUCAGGAGGAACACCGGUGGCGAAGGCGGGUCUCUGGGCAACAACUGACGCUGAGGAGCGAAAGCGUGGGGAGCGAACAGG
rnacentral:rRNA from 1 species